rnacentral:rRNA from 1 species
UACGAAGGGGGCUAGCGUUGUUCGGAAUUACUGGGCGUAAAACGCACGUAGGCGGAUAUUUAAGUCAGGGGUGAAAUCCCGCAGCUCAACUCCGGAACUGCCUUUGAUACUGGGUAUCUUGAGUAUGGAAGAGGUAAGUGGAAUUCCGAGUGUAGAGGUGAAAUUCGUAGAUAUUCGGAGGAACACCAGUGGCGAAGGCGGCUUACUGGUCCAUUACUGACGCUGAGGUGCGAAAGCGCGGGUAGCAAACAGG